rnacentral:rRNA from 1 species
GCCCUACGGGGGGCAGCAGUAGGGAAUAUUAGUAAUGGGCGAAAGCCUGAACUAGCAACGCCGCGUGUGCGAAGAAGGCCUUCGGGUUGUAAAGCACUUUUUGAGAGGAUGAGGAAGGACGGUACUCUCAGAAUAAGUCUCGGCUAACUACGUGCCAGCAGCCGCGGUAACACGUAGGAGGCGAACGUUAUCCGGAUUUACUGGGCGUAAAGCGCGUGUAGGUGGUUUGGUAAGUAGGGCGUGAAAGCUCCUGGCUCAACUGGGAGAGGCCGUUCUAAACUGCCGAACUAGAGGAUGGUAGAGGGAGGUGGAAUUCCGGGUGUAGCGGUGGAAUGCGCAGAUAUCCGGAGGAACACCAGUGGCGAAAGCGGCCUCCUGGACCAUUCCUGACACUCAGACGCGAAAGCUAGGGUAGCAAACGGGAUUAGAUACCCCAGUAGUCA